rnacentral:pre_miRNA from 1 species
AGCCUUCUGUAUCCGUACUGAGAUUACGUUACACACCAGACCACAAGGGCUGAUGAGACUUCCAAGAUAAGUGAAGCG